UACAGAGGUCCCAAGCGUUGUUCGGAUUCAUUGGGCGUAAAGGGUGCGUAGGCGGCGCGGUAAGUCGAGUGUGAAAUCUCGGAGCUUAACUUCGAAACUGCAUUCGAUACUGCCGUGCUUGAGGACUGGAGAGGAGACUGGAAUUUACGGUGUAGCGGUGAAAUGCGUAGAUAUCGUAAGGAAGACCAGUGGCGAAGGCGGGUCUCUGGACAGUUACUGACACUGAGGCACGAAGGCCAGGGGAGCAAACAGG
rnacentral:rRNA from 1 species